rnacentral:lncRNA from 1 species
CACGGACGUCUGAGGGAGAAGAGUGUAAGAGAGCACUAAUUAGCUUCCAAUCGUCGCGAAUCUCGUCACCGGCAAACCAACCAUACAAAAUUGAUUUGGGCACACUUAAAAGCCCAUAAAAGAAAAAUGGUUGAGGUUGGCAAGCAUUCCAAAUAGAACCAAAAAAUCAGCGAACUCAUCGCUGCUGGCCGCCACGAACUCGAACAUCAGAGUCUUCAUCUUGCCAAGUAAGGUUCUUCUAUUUUAGUUUGUUGCAUUUACUAUAUGGGUUCAAUUUUAUUUGCAUAAAAAGCUGAAAAUAACAUUCUCUAUCGGGUACACAAUGGUGAUUGGCUUAGCUGCAGACUUUGGCUAUGAAAAAUGCACCUUGCUAGAUGUCACUAAAUUUACGCUUCAAGAGAACUUUUCCCUCUUGACUAGUAUUCAACCUUGCAAGAUGAUUCUUCGUGUCCAAUACAUAUGCUUUGUCAGAUUAUCUCUUUGGCAUUUUCUGCAAUUGCGUAUCUACAAAAAUGCUUCAGUAUGGAGAAGCAUAAAUUUAUUGCCAUCUGGUGUAUCUACAAAUAGGAAUUUUCUCUUUACUAUCAUGUUUGUCACGAUAAUAUUUGCAAGCGUAAAUUUAGUGCAAUUCUCUUUGUCAUUCUCUGUAAUAAUUGCAAGAGAAUUGGAAAAUGCUAUUUGGAAGAGAAUUGGAAAAUGUUGACCGUGUUUGUUGCCUACAGUAGUCAUAGAUUUGUUUAGGUUUGUAAUUUGCAAUGUUGAGGUUGUUCCUUGUGUUCAUUGUAAGUGUUAUGCGCUAAAUCCAAUCGAUUUAGGUUGUAAACACUUUUAAUAUGUUUAAUGUAUUUAGUCCCCG